AAUCUGGGGCUUAACCCCAGACCUGCAUUCGAUACGGGCGAGCUAGAGUGUGGUAGGGGAGACUGGAAUUCCUGGUGUAGCGGUGGAAUGCGCAGAUAUCAGGAGGAACACCAAUGGCGAAGGCAGGUCUCUGGGCCAUUACUGACACUGAGGAGCGAAAGCGUGGGGAGCGAACAGGAUUAGAUACCCUGGUAGUCCACGCCGUAAACGGUGGGCACUAGUUGUGGGAACCUUCCACGGUUUCUGCGACGCAGCUAACGCAUUAAGUGCCCCGCCUGGGGAGUACGAUCGCAAGAUUAAAACUCAAAGGAAUUGACGGGGCCCCGCACAAGCAGCGGAGCAUGCGGCUUAAUUCGACGCAACGCGAAGAACCUUACCAAGGCUUGACAUAUACAGGAAUAUGGCAGAAAUGUUAUAGCCGCAAGGUCUGUAUACAGGUGGUGCAUGGUUGUCGUCAGCUCGUGUCGUGAGAUGUUGGGUUAAGUCCCGCAACGAGCGCAACCCUCGUUCUGUGUUGCCAGCAUUUAGUUGGGGACUCACAGGAGACUGCCGGGGUUAACUCGGAGGAAGGUGGGGAUGACGUCAAAUCAUCAUGCCUUUUAUGUCUUGGGCUGCACGCAUGCUACAAUGGCUGGUACAAACGGCUGCGAUACCGCAAGGUGGAGCGAAUCCGAUAAAGCCAGUCUCAGUUCGGAUUGGGGUCUGCAACUCGACCCCAUGAAGUCGGAGUUGCUAGUAAUCGUAGAUCAGCAACGCUACGGUGAAUACGUUCCCGGGGCUUGUACACACCGCCCGUCACGUCACGAAAGUCGGUAACACCCGAAGUCAGUGGCCCAACCGUAAGGGGGGAGCUGCCGAAGGUGGGAUCGGUGAUUGGGACG
rnacentral:rRNA from 1 species